rnacentral:lncRNA from 1 species
UGCUUUAUACUUGUUCAUUUGUUAGUUAUGUUUGAUCUUUUAUCAUAGUCAAUUAACUCACCUCACUCAUCAAGUUGAGCACAUUUCAUAUGAGCACUAAUUAUUAAAAAUUUUAAGAGACCCAAAUCACCCUCCCUCCUCUUGAGCUCCAUAUCUGGGCAACAACAAGACUCGAAAUCAGAUUCAAAAAGUGACACUUUGUAUUUAUGAAAAAAGAUAUUUCAUUAAAUAGAAUUUUCUUUACAAGUUUCAUUUGAUUACAUCUUUUAAAAAGAAAAAUAAAAUACAAAGCGAUACGAAGUCCCUACGAGAGGUCUCAUCGUCUCCUGCACCCCCUAUAUAUUCCUAAUGAUCUUCCUCAACUUCUAAGGCCUCUGGGAUGAUUGGGCUGCUUUCCUGAAUCCUUAGGAGCUUCAAUCUUUAGUUGCUCUACAUCACCUUGGCUCCCUGAUGUCCCUCCUGAAGCCAUGGCCACAUCAAGAGUAGUCGUAGUGAUCUUGACGUAUGUGUCCGAAGAAGCACCCCACAUCUCCUGGCAUAACUCCUCGGCAUCAAUGUUUGUCAAUAUUCAGAAACAUGGCAUUGAUG